UACGUAGGGUGCGAGCGUUAAUCGGAAUUACUGGGCGUAAAGCGUGCGCAGGCGGCUUUGCAAGACAGAUGUGAAAUCCCCGGGCUCAACCUGGGAACUGCAUUUGUGACUGCAAGGCUGGAGUGCGGCAGAGGGGGAUGGAAUUCCGCGUGUAGCAGUGAAAUGCGUAGAUAUGCGGAGGGACACCGAUGGCGAAGGCAAUCCCCUGGGCCUGCACUGACGCUCAUGCACGAAAGCGUGGGGAGCAAACAGG
rnacentral:rRNA from 1 species